AGGAAAAGCAAGCUGAUUGAAGGAAGAGUGUGGGGCACAGUGGCAUCACCCCGCCAGCGCCGGCUGGGACUCGAAAAGCCAGGGACCAGGCGAUGGCAGCCAGCGCCGUCCUCCCGGGUGCUCCGAGGAAGGGCUCCUCUGACAGCGUCUCCCGUUGGCGCCUGUAUCUGGGAUGAGGGCAUCACCGGGGUUUCCCUGGGCCCCUGGCGUGUGUCUCAGUGCCGAGUGAGAAGCUCAGUGGCGACCCCUUUGUGGACGUGGGAUACAGCGCCGCCACACCUGCCUCGGGCACCAGCUCCUGCCUGGCUUGAGCAGCCAGCCCUGGGGCCCUCGGUGGCCCCGCCACGGGCAAGGAGGCUGGCGCCCACGGCCUGAGCCUCCUUCAGAACAGAGUCGUGAGAUCCCCAGACGAUGGCCCACAAGCGCGUGAAAAGAUACUCGAUUGACAUCCCUGAUCUUCAGGGAAAUUCGAAUCAGGAGCACAAUGAGACACCAUCUCACAUUUAUUAGAAUGGCUCCUACGAAGAGAAAAAACCACAUCACGAGUGUUGGCGAGGACGUGGAGAAAUUGGGACGCUCGUGUGCUGCUGGUGGGAGUGCAAAGGGCGUGGCCGCCAUGGAGACAGCAGUCAGUUCCUGGUAAAAUUAAACUCGAUCAGCAGCCCUGCUGGGCUUGCCCCCAAAAGAGCUGCGACGCAUCCUGAAGGAUAUUCACACACCAUCCUGGCAGCAGCCAAAAAGGGGUAGCAACUCAGGUGUCGGCCGAUGGACAGAUGAGUAGACAAAUGUGGUCCAUCCACACAGUGGACUAUGACUCAGUGUCAAAAAGGAGGGAUGUUCUGACACCUGCCACCACGUGGAAGGACCCUGACGACACCAUGCGCGGUGAAACAAGCCAGUCACCAAACGACAAAAACACUGCGUGACCCACUUAAAUGAGGCGACUGAGGUAGUCAAACUCUAGAAACGGAAAGCGCAGCGGCGUUGGCUGCUGCCCGGGGCCGGGAGGGGUGGGAGCCGCUGUCUCUGUGGGCACAGUUUCAGUUUUGCAAGAAGAAAAAUUCUGGAGGUGGAUUGCACAACAAUGUAAACACACUUAACCGAACUGCACGCCCAAAAACGGUCAUGACGUCACCUGGGAUGCACGGAUGUGGCAGGCGCAGGGUGACGUGCCCGCUGUCCCAGGCCUGGGCUCUGACCGGCGACAGUCACCAUGAGCCGUGCCCCGCGUACUGGCCUCCCACGGUGGGCCCCCGGCUGCAGGCACACAAGGAGGGAGCCACCACCUGGCAGAACGAGGUUUAAGGGGGCACCAAAGAACUCAGGAGUCAAGAUAGAUGUUAUUCUAACACAGCGUUUUAAAGAAAUCAAAAUUAAUGCAAAAUGCCCACGAGGAAUAAAAUAGCAACAUUUUACACGCAGACAAGACCAGUCUCGGUGCCACGCUGAGGCGCUCCCGGGCCUGAGGCAAAGGGGAAGCACACCUGUGCGCUCGGCCCUUGCUGUGGCCCCACGUGCCGCUGCACCUGGGGCUCCGUGGCCACGGGGCCACAGUCCAAGGGCGCUGAGAUCCCUGGGAAUAGCCCUCCAUCACUCUCAGCCAGCCCCACCCCCUCAUAUGGGGUAACUCUGGGGGCUCCAGAGGGGCUGAGCCCAGGCGCCCACAGCUCAGUAUCUGCUGCCCAGCCAUCCCCAGCUCACUUCCUGCCUUCUCUACAGAUGCUUUCUUGAAUCCUCAUCUAGUGAAGCAGCUGCUCUCAACCCUUGUCUCAGGCUCUGCACUGGGGGGAAGCCAGCCCCAGGCAGACGUCCAUUAUGAUUCUCUUUAACGUGGCAAACUCUGUGACUCCUGACACCCCUCCUGACCUGGGGCAGGUCACUGGCAGGUCACUUCUGCUCCAGGGCCCCUCACAGGCUGCCAGCCGGGUGUCUUGGGGGCUGCAGUGUCAUCCGAGGGCUCGAGAGGGGAGGCUCCACCCCACAGUCAGCCUGAGCAGUUGGCAGGACUCAGCCCCCUGGCUGAGGAGAUGCUUCAGCUCCCGGCUGAGCGGGCCCCCCCGGGGCAGCUCACAGGGCAGCCACUGGCGUCAUUGGAGCUGGUGAGAGCGAGACGGAAGCCUCGGUCAUUUGGAAGCCGGUCUUGGAAGCGUGGCCCAGUCAUCUGUGUCUUAUUCUGUAGUUAGAAGUGAGUCUCAAGGUGCUGCCCGCGCUCCAGGACAAGGGAGGGACACGGUGUGAAUGCCAGGAGGCAGGAACCGUGGGGCCACCUUGGUGUCUGUCCACUGAUUUUCGCCUUCUUAGUGUAUGGCACCCUGACCUGCUCAGUUCUUCACCCCCAGAGGGGUGCCCUCCCGGACCCCUAUCUGUCUGCCAUGCCGUCUGUGAGGCCUCCGACCUGGCUCCAGAUGCCCUUCUGAUCCCGCCUCCUUCCCUCAGGGCUGGCUGUGCCCACCUCACGUCUCUUCUUGGAAGCUCAGUCCCACCUCAGGGCCUUUGCACCUGCCGUUCCCUCUGCCCGGAAUUCUCUGUCUCCAGACAUCUGCACGGCUCCCCCUUCAGGGUCUCUCACAGGCUGCCGGCGGGUGUCAGCUGGGGCUGCGGUCUCACUGGAAGCCUCAGUCAGGGAAGGAAACCCCUCCUGCAGGCCUCGGCUUCAACACGAGCUCUUUGAAGAUGCAUUCCUGGCCCAGCACAACACUGAGGCCUGUACGGUCGAGUCAGCUCAGCAGCCCAGGGGGCCCUGAUCCCGCACGUUCCCAAGAAAGGCCCAUCUGCAGGCCCGGCCCUACUCCUAGGAUGUCACCUGCUUGCCCCCGGGACGUCCUGCCUGUGAGAAUCUGCACCCUGGACCUCAGCCGGGACGGACGCCCUGGGCUCCUGUGAGAUUCCGCUGGGCCUGGGCCCCCGUUCAGAAUCAGCGGGACCUCUGCAGGGGCUGCAGCCCGGGCCAGCCGCACGCUGGUCAGCCACGCCUACGCGCCCACCUCCCCGUAAAACGCUGGGCCCCAGGGCUCAGGCGGGUGUCCCUGCUUGGCGACAGUCCACGUGGAGAAUUCACGGCUGUCCGCUGACUCCAAGGGCGGACACUGGAAGCUGGCGCCUGGCCUUGCCGGGUCCCGCUCCUCGAGCUUUUGCUCUUUGCUGACUUUAAUCUGUAUCCUUCCCCUGUGAUAAACCGUAAUCACGAGUAGAACAGCUUU